CUUGCUCUGUGAAAGCAACAGCAGACAAUCAUUUCAUUUCACACUCUUUUCCCUGGAUUUCCCUGGCAGACGCUAUAGCACGGCAACCAUAGAGCCCAUUCAGCCUUUUUUCACUGUCACCGUA